rnacentral:rRNA from 1 species
UACGUAGGGACCGAGCGUUGUCCGGAUUCAUUGGGCGUAAAGAGCUCGUAAGCGGCUAUUCAAGUCGAACGUGAAAACUCGGAGCUCAACUCCGAGCCUGCGUUCGAUACUGGAUGGCUAGAGUCUGGUAGGGGGAUCUGGAAUUCCUGGUGUAGCGGUGGAAUGCGCAGAUAUCAGGAGGAACACCGGUGGCGAAGGCGGGAUCCUGGGCCAGUACUGACGCUGAGGCGCGAAAGCCAGGGGAGCGAACGGG